rnacentral:pre_miRNA from 1 species
AAGUUACUCCCUCUGUCCGGAAAUACUUGUCCUAGAAAUGGUUGUAUCUAGACUUAUUUUAGAUAUAGAUACAUCCAUUUUAUCCAUUUCUAGGACAAGUAUUUUCGGACGGAGGUAGUACUUG